CAGCCGCCACGGUAAUACGUAGGGUGCGAGCGUUGUCCGGAAUUACUGGGCGUAAAGAGCUCGUAGGCGGUUUGUCGCGUCGUCUGUGAAAUUCUGCAGCUUAACUGUAGGCGUGCAGGCGAUACGGGCAGACUUGAGUACUACAGGGGAGACUGGAAUUCCUGGUGUAGCGGUGAAAUGCGCAGAUAUCAGGAGGAACACCGGUGGCGAAGGCGGGUCUCUGGGUAGUAACUGACGCUGAGGAGCGAAAGCGUGGGGAGCAAACAGGAUUAGAUACCCCAGUAGUCCCUGUCUCUUAUAC
rnacentral:rRNA from 1 species